AGUUUUAAAAAAAAAACAGAGAGUCCCUCUAAUCUCUCUCUCUCAGCCUUUCCAAAUCCGGCCAACAAGGCCAAUGCCAUGCACCGCCGUGACCGCCUUGGACGGUGGCCGUCGCUGUGCAUAGGGGCUACUUUAAGCCUCGUUUCAGAUCCUGUACGAAGGUCACGUUUUUGGUUCGAUGGCUGCGAAGAAAAAGCUUCCACCCCACCCUUAUGAGUCGACUUCAGUGACGGAGAGGCCUCCGACGACAUGACCGACGGGCGUUCCAAGUGGUGUCAGAGCAUGCGGAUGAGGCGAUAGGCGAGCCGCGGCAGUGGCCAGGGGGCGUGCGGGGAGGCUGAGCGGCGCACAGGAGCAGAGGCUUGAAGACCUAGGUGCGGCGCACCUAGGUUUUUUCUUGGCUGAAAUGCGUUUAGUUUUUUUGUGGGCUAGGGUUUGUUUUUGUUUUGGGCCAUGGGCUAGAUUUGGGCUUGGGUUGUAAGCCCGGUCAAAUUUGGACAUUUACAAUAAGUUUGUUCAUUGUCGAA